rnacentral:rRNA from 1 species
AAGACCUUGCGCUUUUGGAGCGGCCGGUGUCUGAUUAGCUUGUUGGUGAGGUAAAGGCUUACCAAGGCUUCGAUCAGUAGCUGGUCUGAGAGGACGGCCAGCCACACUGGGACUGAGACACGGCCCAGACUCCUACGGGAGGCAGCAGUGGGGAAUUUUGGACAAUGGGGGCAACCCUGAUCCAGCCAUGCCGCGUGAGUGAAGAAGGCCUCCGGGUUGUAAAGCUCUUUCAGCCGGAACGAAACGGUUACGGUUAAUACCCGUGACUACUGACGGUACCGGAAGAAGAAGCACCGGCUAACUACGUGCCAGCAGCCGCGGUAAUACGUAGGGUGCAAGCGUUAAUCGGAAUUACUGGGCGUAAAGCGUGCGCAGGUGGUUUUGUAAGUCAGAUGUGAAAUCCCCGGGCUUAACCUGGGAACU